AAGCCCUUGAAUGGUAAAGCCGCGAAUGGCUCAUUACAACAGCCAUAGUUUAUUAGAUCUUACUCUCCUACUUGGAUAACUGAGGUAAUUCUUGAGCUAAUACACGCAGCAAAGCUCAGACUUAACGGAAUGAGCGCAUUUAUUAGAACAAAACCAAUCGGACUUCGGUCCGUCUUUUGGUGAAUCUGAAUAACUCUGCCGAUCGCACGGUCUCGCACCGGCGACAACUCUUUCAAAUGUCUGCCUUAUCAACUUUCGAUGGUAGUUUAUACGACUACCAUGGUCGUAACGGGUAACGGAGAAUAAGGGUUCGACUCCGGAGAGGGAGCCUGAGAAACGGCUACCACAUCCAAGGAAGGCAGCAGGCACGCAAAUUACCCACUCCCGGCACGGGGAGGUAGUGACGAAAAAUAACGAGGCGGUUCUCUACGAGGCCCGCCAUCGGAAUGGGUGAGAUUUAAAUCGUCCAACGAGGAUCAAUUGGAGGGUAAGUCUGGUGCCAGCAGCCGCGGUAAUUCCAGCUCCAAUAGCGUAUAUUAAAGUUGUUGCGGUUAAAAAGCUCGUAGUUGGAUCUGCGGUCGAGGAGAGUGGUCCUCCGAUGGAUGGAACUGCUUUUCCUGACCUAAUUCCUUCGGUUUUCCCUUGAUGCCCUUCAUUGUGUGUCUUGGGUGGCCGAAACGUUUACUUUGAAAAAAUUAGAGUGCUCAAAGCAGGCGAGUCAGCCUGAAUAGUGGUGCAUGGAAUAAUGAAAGAGGAUCUCGGUUCUAUUUUGUUGGUAUUGGAUUGAGAUAAUGAUCGACGGGGACAGACGGGGGCAUUCGUAUUGCGACGUUAGAGGUGAAAUUCUUGGAUCGUCGCAAGACGGACUACUGCGAAAGCAUUUGCCAAGAAUGUUUUCAUCAAUCAAGAACGAAAGUUAGAGGUUCGAAAGCGAUCAGAUACCGCUCUAGUUCUAACCGUAAACGAUGCCAACUCGCGAUCCGCCGGAGUUAAAUGCAUGACUCGGCGGGCAGCGUCCGGGAAACCAAAGUUUUUGGGUUCCGGGGGAAGUAUGGUUGCAAAGCUGAAACUUAAAGGAAUUGACGGAAGGGCACCACCAGGAGUGGAGCCUGCGGCUUAAUUUGACUCAACACGGGGAAACUCACCCGGCCCGGACACCGUAAGGAUUGACAGAUUGAUAGCUCUUUCUUGAUUCGGUGGGUGGUGGUGCAUGGCCGUUCUUAGUUGGUGGAGCGAUUUGUCUGGUUAAUUCCGAUAACGAACGAGACUCUAGCCUACUAAAUAGACAGUGAAUCAUUCGUUCUCUGUACUUCUUAGAGGGACAAGCGGCGUCUAGUCGCACGAGAUUGAGCAAUAACAGGUCUGUGAUGCCCUUAGAUGUUCGGGGCUGCACGCGCGCUACACUGAAGGAAUCAACAUGCUUCUCAACCUUACCCGGAAGGGUUUGGUAACCCGUUGAAACUCCUUCGUGAUUGGGAUAGGGAAUUGCAAUUAUUUCCCUUGAACGAGGAAUUCCCAGUAAGUGCGGGUCAUCAGCUCGCGUUGAUUACGUCCCUGCCCUUUGUACACACCGCCCGUCGCUACUACCGAUUGGAUGAUUUAGUGAGCAACUCAGACUGAUGUCGAAGCGGCUUCGCGGCUGCCUCGAUCUUUUGGAAAGAUUUGCAAGCUCAAUAUCUAGAGGAAGUAAA
rnacentral:rRNA from 1 species